UGAUUGUCCAAACGCAAUUCUUGUCUCUCCACCGAGAGUUGAGUCUGGACAUCAUG
rnacentral:pre_miRNA from 1 species